UACGUAGGCAGCAAGCGUUGUUCGGAGUUACUGGGCGUAAAGGGUGUGUAGGCGGUUCUUUAAGUUUUCUGUGAAAUCUCCCGGCUUAACCGGGAGGGUGCGGUGAAUACUGAGGGACUAGAGUACGGGAGAGGAAAGUGGAAUUCCUGGUGUAGCGGUGAAAUGCGUAGAUAUCAGGAGGAACACCGGUGGUGUAGACGGCUUUCUGGACCGUAACUGACGCUGAAACACGAAAGCGUGGGUAGCAAACAGG
rnacentral:rRNA from 1 species